rnacentral:tRNA from 1 species
GGGCCGGUAGGUCAGCGGUGAGUGCAGCGGACUCAUAAUCCGUAGGUCGGUGGUUCGAAUCCAUCCCGGCCCA